rnacentral:rRNA from 1 species
UACGGAGGGUGCAAGCAUUAAUCGGAUUUAUUGGGCGUAAAGGGCGCGUAGGCGGAAAUAUAAGUCAGGUGUGAAAUCCCGGGGCUCAACCCCGGAACAGCAUUUGAAACUGUAUAUCUAGAGGGUAGGCGGAGAAAACGGAAUUCCACAAGUAGCGGUGAAAUGCGUAGAUAUGUGGAAGAACACCGGUGGCGAAGGCGGUUUUCUAGCUUAUUCCUGACGCUAAUGCGCGAAAGCAAGGGGAUCAAACAGG